rnacentral:rRNA from 2 species
GCGGCAGGCCUAACACAUGUCAAGUCGAGCGGAAACGAGUUAUCUGAACCUUCGGGGAACGAUAACGGCGUCGAGCGGCGGACGGGUGAGUAAUGCCUAGGGAAUUGCCCUGAUGUGGGGGAUAACCAUUGGAAACGAUGGCUAAUACCGCAUAACGUCUACGGGCCAAAGAGGGGGACCUUCGGGCCUCUCGCGUCAGGAUAUGCCUAGGUGGGAUUAGCUAGUUGGUGAGGUAAGGGCUCACCAAGGCGACGAUCCCUAGCUGGUCUGAGAGGAUGAUCAGCCACACUGGAACUGAGACACGGUCCAGACUCCUACGGGGGGCAGCAGUGGGGAAUAUUGCACAAUGGGCGCAAGCCUGAUGCAGCCAUGCCGCGUGUGUGAAGAAGGCCUUCGGGUUGUAAAGCACUUUCAGUCGUGAGGAAGGUAGUGCAGUUAAUAGCUGCAUUAUUUGACGUUAGCGACAGAAGAAGCACCGGCUAACUCCGUGCCAGCAGCCGCGGUAAUACGGAGGGUGCGAGCGUUAAUCGGAAUUACUGGGCGUAAAGCGCAUGCAGGUGGUUUGUUAAGUCAGAUGUGAAAGCCCGGGGCUCAACCUCGGAAUUGCAUUUGAAACUGGCAGACUAGAGUACUGUAGAGGGGGGUAGAAUUUCAGGUGUAGCGGUGAAAUGCGUAGAGAUCUGAAGGAAUACCGGUGGCGAAGGCGGCCCCCUGGACAGAUACUGACACUCAGAUGCGAAAGCGUGGGGAGCAAACAGGAUUAGAUACCCUGGUAGUCCACGCCGUAAACGAUGUCUACUUGGAGGUUGUGGCCUUGAGCCGUGGCUUUCGGAGCUAACGCGUUAAGUAGACCGCCUGGGGAGUACGGUCGCAAGAUUAAAACUCAAAUGAAUUGACGGGGGCCCGCACAAGCGGUGGAGCAUGUGGUUUAAUUCGAUGCAACGCGAAGAACCUUACCUACUCUUGACAUCCAGAGAACUUUCCAGAGAUGGAUUGGUGCCUUCGGGAACUCUGAGACAGGUGCUGCAUGGCUGUCGUCAGCUCGUGUUGUGAAAUGUUGGGUUAAGUCCCGCAACGAGCGCAACCCUUAUCCUUGUUUGCCAGCGAGUAAUGUCGG